GUUUCAGUCUUUAACCCGAAGUAGUGCUGAUGCUUGUCUCCGUUGAAGAGAUCCCUGCCAGCCCAUGCAGCUUUAGUUCAAAAGCCAGCUAGUGUAAGAGAGGAAAUGUUCGCGAGGUAAAGAACCUACGUUUCUUCUUCUUUGUGUAGGUACCCCCGACGUGUUUACUUUUCAUUUUCAGCACAACUUGGCCUGCUUUGUUGAUGUAGACAGAAACUAUCUUCCAGUGGAGAUCACCUGCUUAAAAAACUUCAAGGCUCCGAAGAAGUCUUCCCCAGCCAUGGGUAAUUCUCCACUAAAGCUGCUAUCGCUAUGCUUUGUGUCAACCUGGCCACACAAUGCUGAAU